GACAGAGGGUGCAAACGUUGUUCGGAAUUACUGGGCGUAAAGCGAGUGUAGGCGGUCUGAUAAGUCGGGUGUGAAAGCCCCGGGCUCAACCUGGGAAUUGCAUUCGAGACUGCAUUGCUGGAGUACGGAAGAGGAAGGCGGAAUUCCCGGUGUAGCGGUGAAAUGCGUAGAUAUCGGGAGGAACAUCAGUGGCGAAGGCGGCCUUCUGGUCCAGUACUGACACUCAAGUGCGAAAGCGUGGGGAGCAAACAGG
rnacentral:rRNA from 1 species